GAUGAACGCUGGCGGCGUGCCUAAUACAUGCAAGUCGAGCGAACAGACGAGGAGCUUGCUCCUCUGACGUUAGCGGCGGACGGGUGAGUAACACGUGGAUAACCUACCUAUAAGACUGGGAUAACUUCGGGAAACCGGAGCUAAUACCGGAUAAUAUAUUGAACCGCAUGGUUCAAUAGUGAAAGACGGUUUUGCUGUCACUUAUAGAUGGAUCCGCGCCGCAUUAGCUAGUUGGUAAGGUAACGGCUUACCAAGGCAACGAUGCGUAGCCGACCUGAGAGGGUGAUCGGCCACACUGGAGCGGAGACACGCUCCAGACUCCUACGGGAGGCAGCAGUAGGGAAUCUUCCGCAAGGGGCGAUAGCCUGUCGGGGCAACGCCGCGGGAGUGAUGAAGGGCUUCGGCUCGUAAAACUCUGUUAUUAGGGAAGAACAAAUGUGUAAGUAACUAUGCGCGUCUGGACGGAACCUAAGCAGAAAGCCACGGCUAACUCCUG
rnacentral:rRNA from 1 species